UACGAAGGGGGCUAGCGUUGCUCGGAAUCACUGGGCGUAAAGCGCACGUAGGCGGAUUGCUAAGUCAGGGGUGAAAUCCUGGAGCUCAACUCCAGAACUGCCUUUGAUACUGGCGACCUUGAGUCCGGGAGAGGUGAGUGGAACUGCGAGUGUAGAGGUGAAAUUCGUAGAUAUUCGCAAGAACACCAGUGGCGAAGGCGGCUCACUGGCCCGGUACUGACGCUGAGGUGCGAAAGCGUGGGGAGC
rnacentral:rRNA from 1 species